ensembl:lncRNA
UCAAUCCUGCAUUUUAACAGGCAGGCAAAGAGCAGGAGCCUCUAGCCUUCCUAAGGAUUUGCAAAGGGGAAUUCCAUUGUGAAGGAGCUGUUGCCAUUCUCCUUCAGCUGGUGAAACGUGAUUCAAUUUGAUUCCAUUCCAAAGCAGACAUGGAGCAUCUGGUGUGUGCCCACACUGGCGCUGCUGGGGCGGCCAGGACCAGUAGGAUGUUGCCAUUGCCCAGGUGGGGCAUGCCAUCAAGCAGACACCAUGGAUAGAUAGAUCAAUUCUGCAGUAUGGAACAGAGGAGUGAUAAUGAUACUUUUCAUCCCAGGCUCAAGAAACUCCAGCACCACCUUGGACUGGCCUCACUUUCUGGGCCCACCAAGCAGCCAAAAGAUAAGGAUGAAUGAAGGAGUUCAUGAACAAGGAAAUCGUUGCCUCCCUUCCUCUGCAAAAGCAGAACUUGGCAGUAUCCCUCUGCCAGGGCAAGUGAUGGCCUGCGGGACUUAGGGGGAAGGUACGGAUGUGAGAGUUGGACCAUAAAGAAGUCUGUGCAUCAAGGAAUUGAUGCUUUCAAAUUGUGGUGCUUGAGAAGACUCUUGCGAGUCCCUUGGACAGCAAGAAGGUCAAACCAGUCAAUCCUAAAGGAAAUCAACCCUGAAUAUUCAUUGAAAGGACUGAUACUGAAGCUAAAACUCCAAUGCUUUGGCCAUCUGAUGCCAAGAACUGACUCAUUGGAAAAGACCCUGAUGCUGGGAUAGAUUGAAGGCAAAAGGAGAAGGGGGCAGCAGAGGAUGAGAUGGUUAGAUGGCAUCACCGACUCAAAAGAUGUGAAAAAGAUGUGAAUUUGAGCAAACUCCGGAAGAUAGCAAAGGAACCUGGCAGGCUGCAGUUCACGGGGUCACAAAGAGCUAGACAUGACCUAGCGACUGAACAGCAGCAACAAGAUGUCCAGGAAGUCCUGAGGACAUCCACAGCAGGGAGACAAUGGCUUGCAGUCAGCAUCCUGAACCCCCAGGAGACCCCUAGGCUCAGCCCAUAGCAGCCACACCAGUGUUCCUCAGUUUCCC